rnacentral:rRNA from 1 species
UGCAGUCGAGGGGUAACAGGGAGUGCUUGCACUCUGCUGACGACCGGCGCACGGGUGCGUAACGCGUAUGCAAUCUACCUCUUACUGAGGGAUAGCCCAUGGAAACGUGGAUUAAUACCUCAUAGUAUUAUAGACUGGCCUCAGUUUAUGAUUAAAGGUUACGGUAAGAGAUGAGCAUGCGUCCUAUUAGCUAGAUGGUAAGGUAACGGCUUACCAUGGCUACGAUAGGUAGGGGUCCUGAGAGGGAGAUCCCCCACACUGGUACUGAGACACGGACCAGACUCCUACGGGAGGCAGCAGUGAGGAAUAUUGGACAAUGGGCGAGAGCCUGAUCCAGCCAUGCCGCGUGCAGGAAGACGGCCCUAUGGGUUGUAAACUGCUUUUACAGAGGAAGAACCCUCCUUACGUGUAAGGAGCUGACGGUACUCUAUGAAUAAGGAUCGGCUAACUCCGUGCCAGCAGCCGCGGUAAUACGGAGGAUCCAAGCGUUAUCCGGAAUCAUUGGGUUUAAAGGGUCCGUAGGCGGGUCUAUAAGUCAGUGGUGAAAGUCUGCAGCUUAACUGUAGAACUGCCAUUGAUACUGUAGACCUUGAAUUAGUAUGAAGUGGUUAGAAUGUGUAGUGUAGCGGUGAAAUGCAUAGAUAUUACACAGAAUACCGAUUGCGAAGGCAGAUCACUAAUACUAUAUUUGACGCUGAUGGACGAAAGCGUAGUAGCGAACAGGAUUAGAUACCCUGGGUAGUCUACGCCGU